rnacentral:lncRNA from 1 species
GGGGAGCCAGGCGCGCGUGUGUGCAUGCUCUCACACACACUUGGAUAAAAAACACACAGAGAUCCGCAGCAGACAGACAUACAAACACAGCAGCUUGAAUAUAUACUCAGAUUUGACCUCAAACAUUGUUUCCCAAUACUAAAACACCAUUCAGUGACAGAGACCCAUUCCCAGAGACACAGUUACACUCAAGUGAAACAAAACUGGACCGGUUAGGGGAGAUCUUCUGGAAACACAAAGAAGUCAUACAGCCAGAGGUAGGAGGAAGGAAAGAGACAUGUUCUCAGUAAGAGACAGACUGGAAGUAACUUUUAUACCAUAAAGGAAUAUGAAUAGAGUAGUUCAAGAGAAUGAGAGGAUGUCUGAUCUUCCCUGGGCCAGGUAUUGCCCCAUUUUGUACCAGGAAACCCUACACGUAGUCAGGAAGUGGUUACUCAAGGUCAUGCAAAAAGUCAAGGUUAGAGGUAAAAACAGAAAUAAAGAAUACUAUGUCACUUCCCUGUGCCCUGCUAUUAGGGCCCCAGGCCAGUAAACUGUGUGUGCGUGCGUGUGCGUGUGUGUGUGUGUUUGUGCAUGCAUGAGAGAGAGAGAGAGAGAUCAGCACUGGCUUAAGCAACAUCCGUGUAUUAGUUCCAACAAAUGUUUGCAAAGGCUGGAAGACGGUAUAUCUGUAAAUGUGUAUUUGAGGAUCUGUGUGCACACACAUGGGAACAUACAUCAUAGUAUAAAAGGCUGUAUGAGUGUGGUCAUGUGUAGACAUGUCUAUGCAUAGACUAUAAGGCCCAUAGAGGCCUGUCUUGUUCCCUUUCACCUAACAAAGGGCUUGGUACAUAGUGUAUACCCAAUAAAUACUUGUUCAAGAAUGAAUAAAUGAGCAGAAUCAUUCUGGGGACUCAGCUAUGGUUGCUCUACUUGGGAGAGCCUGACUACCACUGAAGAGACCAUGAGCAGUCUAGCUUCUGGACAAGAUCUGUGAAGCAGGGAGACGCACCAUGGGGCAGGGUGGCAGCUCUGGCAAUCUACACUGCCAUCCUUUUUUUGUUGUGGGCCCUGUAGUGUGUACAUUGUCUAGGGUAAUAAUGAGUUUCAUGAGUUAUUUCAAACUAUUCUGUGGUGGUGGUGGGGAGAAACAAGAGCUAUCCAUUUGUUACACUUGUGACAGGAAAGUGAGAAAAGGGCAAUAGUGCACAGAAACUCAAGAUGGAUAGACAUACUGACUUAACACACAAACUGACGAGUAGAUUUAUUUUUAGACAGACUAAAAGACAAAUAGAGAUGCAGAUAAAUAGAUGUACAGAUAGACACAGACUGACAUGAAUAGGCAGGCAGGUAGACAAACCCAAGGAGUGACUGACAGAUAGACCAACAGAUAGGCAAACCAAUCAAUAGACAGAUAGAUAGAUGGACAGCUGAUUGCACAGAAAAGAUGGAUGUAUAGUUUGGUAUAUAGAAUACAACAGACUCUGUUAGUGGCUUACCCAAUAGCCAUAUCCCACAUUCCACCCUUCUCCUUGCCAAUGGAACCCACUUUAGUUUGGUAUUUGGAGUCCAAGUGCUAUAGGAAAGGUUGAACCCCUCCAUUACCCCAGAGGUGAGUUAUAAUAUUCUCCAAAAACCAUAGUUAAUGCCAAUUUCCUUGCUUGGCAUCAAUUCAGGAAUGGACAUGAAAUAAAAUCCUAACUGUUGAAAUGUGGGAAGUGGUCUAUGAAGGAGUCUUUUGAGAAAAUUUACCUUAAUCUAAAAAGGGUCAUUUGGAGAGUGGGUGCAGUGGUACACAUCUGUAAUUCCAGUGGCUCUGGAGCCUGAGGCAGGAGGAUCGCGAGUUCAAAGUCAGCCUCAGCAAAAGUGAGGCACUAAGCCACUCAACGAGACCCUGCCUCUAAAUGAAAUACAGAAUAGGGCUGGGGAUGUGACUCAGUGGUCAAGUGCCCCUGAGUUCAAUCCCCAGUACCAAAAAAGUGGGGGGGGGGUCACAUGGAAAAUGUGUGCCCCUCAUCUUUUGGAUUUUAUACUUUGCUAUGUUAAGAUGUAAUAUAUUUAGCAGCUGCAGACUUUUUGACAUCUUGAGGUUCAGCCUGUGUUCAAAAGCUGUGCCAAGGGCAGCAAAGAAGAGAUAUGAAAAGAAUUUAGGUGCUGCUGAUGCCACUUGGCCACAUUAAUCAAUUGGGGAAUCUUCCUGUCCUCAGAUAUCUUGUUGUAUUAGAGAACAUAUUAUCAUCUGAGCCCCUAUUGGUAGGAUCAUCUGUUGCUUGUGGCCAAAAGCAUUUUAUUGCUAUACAGAUCAACUGACAAUCUGACAAAUAAUGCAAAAAUGGAGAGAUGGACAAAUGGAGGAACAAACAAAUAGAUAUUCAAAUAGAAAUAUUCAGAUAGAAAAAUGACCAAUAAUAGACUAAUAGAUUGACAAUAACAAUAAUAAACCAAUUAUUUAACUGAUAGGACAGUAUGGUAGAUAGUAGUAGAUAAGCAGACAGAUUGGCUAAGGUGAAUUAGACAAACAGAAAAUAGAUUGGAACAUGGAGGCACAAAUGGAAGGACAGACAGAUGAAGACACAGGUAGACACACAGGCACUGACACUAUCUCCAGGAAACGGUCAGCCUGAUGGGGACUCCCCUUCUCAGUGUUCCCAUGACUGCUUGUACAUAACACUAUCUCAGCUCUCAUCCAUGGGGUGGUGAAAAUUGACUUCCUUGUCACUCUUAUUCAUGAUAAUUCCCAGUUCACAAGUUCCUUGAAGACAGAAAUUCCAUCUUCCCAACUUUUAAUAUCCCCAGACCAGCACAGAACUGAACUCAACAGAAAAUGCUCAAUAAUAAUUUAUAUUUUGAAUGAAUGGAUGAAGAUGGAAGGAGGAAGGGACAGAAGGAAGGAAGGGAGGCAGGAGGGACAAAUACUAAGAAGGUGAACAAAACAUUAUACAGAUAGAUAAAUGGACAGAUAAUUUGGCAAAUAGUUUGACAGACCAACAGGGAGACAGAUUGAUAGCAGGUCCAUGUGUGCAGCAGCAUGCCUAUUUCAGACGAACAGAGAAACAGAAUGAUCAGUGUGUAGAUAAACGAACUCUGUGCAUGUGUGGGAGAGCGUGGGGGGAGA